rnacentral:lncRNA from 1 species
GUUUGUGUUCGUUUAAGUACGUUUUAUCGGAACAGUGGUCUCGUAUUACGGCGAGUACACUCCAUGACGUGCUGCUUAUGAGAUCAUGCUCAUUGCCUUGACUCAAUGUAAUCAGCAUGAUCUCGGGAUUCAGAAUUCAUUUAUUGAGAAAAAUGAAUACUGUGCUUUCCUUGUU